UUCUUGGAUGGAACACACUUCCUCCUUGAAGCCCUAGCCUUCCAGGGCUCUGACCAGCUCUUCCAAGUUGGACUGCUGUCCUACCCUCCCCCUGCAUUCUUGGCUGGGCCCCACAUCACUUCUCAAGUCCCAUGUCUCUCUGCCUUUUGGAUUCCUUCUGUGACUUGCUGGAGACAAUCAGCCUUUUUUAAUCAACGUGCAUGCAUAAGCAAAGGAGACAGACGCCCCACCCUCCAGGCAGCUGCCAGGCAUGGAGCAAUACUGUUCUUCUUGUGGUCAACAUAUGUAGUGUCUUUAGUCACUGUAACCAAUCCCUGCUCUUCUGGCUCUCCUCUGGACCUGACUCAAUGAAGACUGUUACCACUUCAUCUUCAGAUGAGGGACUGAGCCCAAGAUAGCACCGUGUUCUGAGACUUGAUGCCAUCUGACAGCAAAAUAUGAACUCAAGAGCUCCUGAUGUGUCCUGGGUUGAGGGAGAGGUGCAAGUUGAUAGACAGUGACAAAGAACAAGCCGUGGCUCCACAGGGCUCCCAUCUCCAGGUAUGAGCUGGCCUGAAAAGGUAAGUCCUCUCUGUCCUCUACAGAGAUGCUUCAGCCUGAGUCAAGCAGGCCCAGGAGGCUCUGCCCAGCAUGUGAUUUCCAAUACUACUACCAAACCUACAAGGGUCUGAGGAGACACCGGAGAACCAUGACCAGGCUGUUGUCCCCAGUGCUCAGGAAAAUCCCCAUUCAACUUGCUCACAGACAAAUGCAUAUCUGGAAGCCAUGCCUAGAUGGUUAUAUUACAUAAUAACUAACUUCUGGAAAUAACUGACUUUGUAUGUCUGCCCAGACAUGAUGAUUUCAGCACCCAACACAGGGGAUUAAGAGCUUAACAGAAUUUUAAUCCAGUCUCUCUAAUCCA